GUGGACAUAGACAGGUGUAUUAUGGGGCCUCCAGUCAUGCUUAAUGGAAGAUACUAACUCAAUUGAUAUAAGCAAAGGAAAAUACAGUGUAUUAUAUAAUGAGACAUCUUGAGUAGGGUAGUCCUAGGGUCAGUUGAUUCAGCAGCUUGAUUCAUAAUCAAGAGCCCAAAUUCUUUUCCACUUUCUACCCUGUCAUCCUCAGCCUAUCAGUUUCAUCCUCCCGGUGGCUCAAAGGUAGUUGCAAGGUGGUUGCUAUCAUGCCAUGUCCUACAUGCAGAUGUGAAACGUAUCUCUUUUCAUAAGUCUCAUUUUAAGGGCAAGGAAACACCUGCAGGCCUUUCUGCCACUCUUUUGACCCACUUAUUUUAUUGUGGAACAAGUGACAAACACCUCUUUAAGUGGAUCACUUGGCCAGGAGGGAGAGCUUGCCAUUAUCCUUAGAUGGAGGAGAAUAGGGGUGAGGGUUGUUAUGCCUGAACAUAAGCAGUGCUCUGCCAGUAAAUAAGUGCAGAGAUGGGGCGAUAAAUAGGCAAUUCCUUACCAAGGAGCCAUGGUAAAGCUUCAGGCCAGCUCAGAAGGUGAUGAAGAUGGAGUACACUCCACAGCAACCAGAACAACCAGAAGGAACACACGUUUACAGCCUGCUUCCGAUUCCACACCAUGAGGACAAUGGGUGCAGCAUGCCACACUGGUCCAGGAACUCAGAACUAGGACAGCAGCAGUGGGGAGGAGAAAUGGAGAGAAACAGAAGCUGCCUCUGAUGCACUGAUCCCACCACCCAUAAAUGAUCUUUUCAUGAGCCGGUAAGGAGAAAAGGAAAGACAAAAAGCAUUCUUGACUUAGGAAUGGAAUAGUUGCUCCUCCUCGGUGUCUGAUUCAGUUAUUUAGAAUGGCUUUCUUAUGGCUGGGCCUCUUGUGAAUUAUGAGUCUCUCUCUCUCUUUCUUCCCCCCAGGCUUCAUAUUAAAGACAAGACACAGCUGUCAGGGCCUCCAGAGAUUUCCCAGCAGUCUACUCUGGUGAAAUAAAAUACCAUGUUAUGCUGGAAAACUAGCCUGUCCUUUCUGAACAUGAGCUGUGUUAUUCUCAUGGCCAAGAUAAAGGAUCCCAGGCCCUGGACACUUACUGCUUCUCUUGAGAUUUGUGGCAUAAUCUUCUAGAUAGUACUUGAUUUUGUGUGUGUGUUCCAGCUUCCCCGCAUGAUAUUGAUAAUUAUCUUCUAAAGGGAUUGGAUAUGUUUGUAUAAUACAUGUAUACUACUCCUUCUUGAAAUACUGUCUUGAAGGAGAGCAUUUGGUUACCAUUAAAGCAACUCUUUCGCUUCCAAGUGGUGAGAAGUUCUGUGGCCCUGGUGCCACAGAUGACUUGGGAUGUUGACAGAGUUGUGAUCGUCCCUGUAGGCAUCUUUUGUGUCAUUACUACCAGAAGGAUUGCAUUAUACAAAUGGGCUGAGGUUUGUACAUAAUGAUUGGUUGAACUGCUUCUGAUGUUGCAAUCUCAGCUUUAUCUGCCUCAGAGUAAAUGGAGCCAGCUGAAAUAGGUCUGUAACCCUGCAUGGAGAUUUGGAGUAUACAAGUAAAAUGUUGGGAAGGUGUCUAAUUGGAGACUGUUUUUAGUUAAAUGGUUUACACCCUAGUAGAGACCAAGAGAGAAGGCACACGUGAUGCUCCAACCUCAUAUUUUGAUUUCAGUCUUCAAAUAAUAGUAUGAAUUUCAAAUCCCAGCAAAGGCUUGCAUAAGCCUAUGGUAAAGGAGAAGUAUCUCAGAAACUAAAAAGUUCUUCUGACUGAUGACAGGAGCUCUCCAAGUGUUGACAGACAGCCCUCCUCACACAUUCCUUUCUCCCUCUCCCAUUUUAUCCUAAUUAUAAGCUAGCAAAUAGGAUAAAGGAAGACACCUCUCCCUAUUGGAUAUACCUGUGUUCAGAAAUCUUUACCAAACUAAAAUAAUCAGAAUCCAAUUUCUAAGAAUCUAGUUUAUUUCUAACCUAUCUGCAAGGUAUACCUGGGAGGGUAGGUAAGGAUCUAAUUAGUGAUACAAAUGUCAUUCAAUCAGACAAACAGAUUCCUUUGGGAGUACACAAAUAAAAUCCCAACCAGUAGAAUUUACCAACUGAGGAAUAAAUAUAGAGCCUUGUUUAUUUUCUAUAUUUUUAUGCAAUAGGUAAGUGCUCAGUAAAUACAGUUGGGUUGGAUUAUUAAAUUGAAAACAUCCAUGCCCACUUUGAAGAAAAUAAUCUGAAGGGAAAUUAUCUAAUGCCAUGAAUAUGUAAAUUAUACCUUGACCCACUUUUCUGCUUCUCAAUUGUGAGGCCAAAAUGCCUUCCACGUAUAACUUUCUAAUUUUUACAAGUUGUAAUAGUCCCUGAGGGAAGGGAAAUAGCAAUUGCCAUUAUCCCAUUUUACAGAUAUGAGAACUGAAGCACAAGCUGCUCAGCCAGGAAUGGCAACUCUGUAAGAGUCAGAGUAAAAUGAUAUAAGACUGGGACAGAGGGAGCAGAAAUGCUGCCUAGAAUUUAGUCUGAGGUUCCUAUUCUAUCUCCUUGCCUCCUUUGACCAGAUAAUAACCUAGGAACCCCUGGCAUUGCACUCUCACACACCAGGAGAAGCUUCCCCUGCCCAUCACAAGGGCAGAGCAAACAGCCAAAUGGCAGGACUCAUGUAUAGCAGGGGCUCUGUUCUGCUUACCAUGAUGGGCCCACCUUCACCCCCAUUCCCCAGUGCCUACCUAAUUCAGCACUUGCAUUGGCCCUAGCAAACAAGGGUCAAAUGACAGGAUGAAUCAAUGAAGGACUUGUGAUUCCCAUUUUUGGUGUUCAACCCAUUAAAUCAAUGUUUCUUAAAAGAAGUUGGUCACGGUUGCUCAUGCCUAUAAUCCCAGGGGCUCGGGAGGCUGAAGCAAGAGGAUAUCUUGAGGCCAGGAGUCUGAGACCAGCCUCAGUAACAUAGGGAGACCCUGCCUCUACAAAAUUAAAAAGAAAAACAUUAGUCAGUCUGGUAGUCUCAGCUCCUCUGGAGGUUGAGUCAGGAGGAUUGCUUGGGCCCAGAAGUUUGAGGCUGCCUUGAUUGCUGCCCUGCACUCCAGCCUGGGUAACAGAGUGAGACCCUGUUUCAAAAAAAGAAAGAAAGAAAGAAAAAAGAAGUCUUAAGACAUUACAGUCUACCCUUUUAGAAGAGAAAAUGCCUGAUAGCAUCACUUACCUGCAAUCAUUCCUGCAGAAACAGCAAAAAGACUCUUUCCACAUUUCAAGGAACCACAUGCAUCUGGUUCUAGUGAUGCUCCUUUCUAAUAAAACAAAUACUCCUUGUCGGGCGUGGUGGCUCACACCUGUAA
rnacentral:lncRNA from 1 species